rnacentral:snRNA from 1 species
GCGCUCGCUUCAGCAGCACAUAUACUAAAAUUGGAACGAUACAGAGAAGAUUAGCACGGCCCCUGCGCAAGGAUGACACGCAAAUUUGUGAAGUGUUAAAAAAAAAA